ACUAUUUUGGCAGAAAAAAUGUAAUGAUUUUAGAAGUCAUGAAUAUAUAUAGUUCUUAUUAUAUAUAUAUAGUA
rnacentral:tRNA from 1 species